CACCGCGGUUAUACGAGAGGCCCAAAUUGAAGGAUUUCGGCGUAAAGCGUGGUUAAGGUCUAACUAAAGUAAAGCCGAAUAUAUUCAAGGCUGUUAUACGCUCCCGAAUAUAAGAAGCCCAAUUACGAAGGUGGCUUUAUAAAACCUGACUCCACGAAAACUAGGAGA
rnacentral:rRNA from 1 species